UAACAACAAAAAAAUAAAUAAUAAAAAAAACAAAAAACAAAUAUCUAGAUAUUUAUUUAGUUCCCUUAGCAAUUAAGCUACCUUAUACUCUAUAAAUUGAGGGCUUGUCCAAAUCCACUCCCACGUUUUUAAAAAGCCCAAGGAGAGGGUAAGAGAGGGAGAGUUGGCUCAAGGGAAGUAGAGAAGUAAGAAGAAAAAAAGAAGAGAAAAAGAAGGAAUUCUUGAAGGUGAUGAAGCAGUUUACAAUGGUGAAGGUUAUUUCGAAGGCAAACGAGAUGAAGUGUUGGAGCUGUGGUUCAUUUGAAGACUUAGACUAGUUUUUUUUUUUCUUUUGACUUUUGGUUUGGCAAUGUUUUGGUAAUCCUGUAAUGGAACAUAAACGAAUUAUCUGUGAUAUUAACUCUGGUUAUAUAUGUAUAUUAAGAUGUUCUGGUCAUCUAUUCUA